rnacentral:pre_miRNA from 7 species
UUUCAGGGUUCGUGCGUGUCACUCAGAUCUCGGUCAAACCUCCAAAUGAAAGAACCUAGUGGGGAAACCCCCACUCAAUUUCCAUUCGGUGCACACCCAAGAAUCACAAACAGACAA